rnacentral:rRNA from 1 species
UCGACGGAGUGAAGGAGCUUGCUCUUUCAUUUAGUGGCGCACGGGUGAGUAACGCGUAGAUAAUCUGCCUUGGACUCUGGGAUAACAUCUCGAAAGGGGUGCUAAUACCGGAUAAGCCCACGAUGGCGUAAGUCAUUGCGGGAAAAGGGGGCCUCUGAAUAUGCUCCUGAUUCAAGAUGAGUCUGCGUACCAUUAGCUAGUUGGUAGGGUAAGAGCCUACCAAGGCGACGAUGGUUAGCUGGUCUGAGAGGAUGAUCAGCCACACUGGAACUGAGACACGGUCCAGACUCCUACGGGAGGCAGCAGUGGGGAAUUUUGCGCAAUGGGGGAAACCCUGACGCAGCAACGCCGCGUGAGUGAUGAAGGCUUUCGGGUCGUAACGCUCUGUCUAGAGGGAAGAAAUGAUAGUCGGUUAAUACCCGGUUUUCUUGACGGUACCUCUGAAGGAAGCACCGGCUAACUCCGUGCCAGCAGCCGCGGUAAUACGGAGGGUGCAAGCGUUGUUCGGAUUUAUUGGGCGUAAAGCGCGUGUAGGCGGUUUGUUAAGUCUGAUGUGAAAGCCCUGGGCUCAACCUGGGAAGUGCAUUGGAAACUGGCAGACUUGAAUACGGGAGAGGGUAGUGGAAUUCCUAGUGUAGGAGUGAAAUCCGUAGAUAUUANGAGGAACACCGGUGGCGAAGGCNGCUACCUGGACCGAUA